GACGAACGCUGGCGGCGUGCCUAAUACAUGCAAGUCGAACGAACUCUGGUAUUGAUUGGUGCUUGCAUCAUGAUUUACAUUUGAGUGAGUGGCGAACUGGUGAGUAACACGUGGGAAACCUGCCCAGAAGCGGGGGAUAACACCUGGAAACAGAUGCUAAUACCGCAUAACAACUUGGACCGCAUGGUCCGAGUUUGAAAGAUGGCUUCGGCUAUCACUUUUGGAUGGUCCCGCGGCGUAUUAGCUAGAUGGUGGGGUAACGGCUCACCAUGGCAAUGAUACGUAGCCGACCUGAGAGGGUAAUCGGCCACAUUGGGACUGAGACACGGCCCAAACUCCUACGGGAGGCAGCAGUAGGGAAUCUUCCACAAUGGACGAAAGUCUGAUGGAGCAACGCCGCGUGAGUGAAGAAGGGUUUCGGCUCGUAAAACUCUGUUGUUAAAGAAGAACAUAUCUGAGAGUAACUGUUCAGGUAUUGACGGUAUUUAACCAGAAAGUCACGGCUAACUACGUGCCAGCAGCCGCGGUAAUACGUAGGUGGCAAGCGUUGUCCGGAUUUAUUGGGCGUAAAGCGAGCGCAGGCGGUUUUUUAAGUCUGAUGUGAAAGCCUUCGGCUCAACCGAAGAAGUGCAUCGGAAACUGGGAAACUUGAGUGCAGAAGAGGACAGUGGAACUCCAUGUGUAGCGGUGAAAUGCGUAGAUAUAUGGAAGAACACCAGUGGCGAAGGCGGCUGUCUGGUCUGUAACUGACGCUGAGGCUCGAAAGUAUGGGUAGCAAACAGGAUUAGAUACCCUGGUAGUCCAUACCGUAAACGAUGAAUGCUAAGUGUUGGAGGGUUUCCGCCCUUCAGUGCUGCAGCUAACGCAUUAAGCAUUCCGCCUGGGGAGUACGGCCGCAAGGCUGAAACUCAAAGGAAUUGACGGGGGCCCGCACAAGCGGUGGAGCAUGUGGUUUAAUUCGAAGCUACGCGAAGAACCUUACCAGGUCUUGACAUACUAUGCAAAUCUAAGAGAUUAGACGUUCCCUUCGGGGACAUGGAUACAGGUGGUGCAUGGUUGUCGUCAGCUCGUGUCGUGAGAUGUUGGGUUAAGUCCCGCAACGAGCGCAACCCUUAUUAUCAGUUGCCAGCAUUAAGUUGGGCACUCUGGUGAGACUGCCGGUGACAAACCGGAGGAAGGUGGGGAUGACGUCAAAUCAUCAUGCCCCUUAUGACCUGGGCUACACACGUGCUACAAUGGAUGGUACAACGAGUUGCGAACUCGCGAGAGUAAGCUAAUCUCUUAAAGCCAUUCUCAGUUCGGAUUGUAGGCUGCAACUCGCCUACAUGAAGUCGGAAUCGCUAGUAAUCGCGGAUCAGCAUGCCGCGGUGAAUACGUUCCCGGGCCUUGUACACACCGCCCGUCACACCAUGAGAGUUUGUAACACCCAAAGUCGGUGGGGUAACCUUUUAGGAACCAGCCGCCUAAGGUGGGACAGAUGAUUAGGGUGAAG
rnacentral:rRNA from 1 species